AUUUAUUAUAGUCAGAGAUACACAAGUCAAAUUUCCAUGCCACUUGACUUCCUAAAUAAAAAUUGGUACUUUUUUUUUAAUACUGAGUUUUCACAGUUCUCAAUGAAGUUAAAUGAAGGAGUGAAUGCCCUUUUCAAUGCCCUUGAAAAAUAGUCGCUUUCCUACGGUAUCCCUUUUCUGUUUCUACUGGGAUCCCCAGUAUGAAAAAGCUGUCCUUCUUGCCCAAAAUAAGUAGAUGACCCUACAAACACUGCUCACAUGCACCAGAAAUUUCAGCAUGAGUCAGGGUAUGCAAAAUCCAAGCAAACAAGCAGCAAAAUCACCAUCCUAACAUCAAGUGCAGUUACUACAAGUUGCAUUUUUGGAUUUGUAGAUAUGGGAUAGGAAAAUCAAGACAGAAAAGUUUUGACUGGCUUGUUCACUAACCUCAUCUCAGUGGUCACAAAUGAUUAAAAAGGAAAAUCCAACAAGAAAAGUUCUAAACAUAGAGGAAGUUUCAUAAGUAUAUUUUUGUAGUAUCAUUUUAUUUGCUAUAUUUCUCACUAGGACAAUAUUGCUCUGCUUGUAUUUAACAUUGGUUUUAUUGUCAAAUAAUUAUUCUCUCUGUUAUCCAAUUGCAUGAUUAUUGAGUAUUUCUCCCUCCAGCUAUGUAUCAUGAACAUUUUUCUUCCUUAGUUUUAUAUCAUAUAUAACAACUAAAGUCUGGAAUUUGUAGUUUCCCAUCACCUUCAUAGAACUGUAAGACACAAGCGGGAAUAAAAAUAAAAACAUACCUUUUCGUCAAGUAGUCUGCUAACCAAAAGGAGAAAAAAUACGCUUUGUGUAUUUCUAAAUAGUCCUCUAGGAGUCUUAUACUUGUACUACAUGCUAUAUGUGGUUUCUCCCCCUGUUAUGACAUCUCUGAUUACUUUAAAAAAACUCUCAAAAAUGUUGAGGCACAAACCUUUGUAUGGAAUACUUUUAGUACGCUUUUUAUUCUGACAAGAUUAAUAAUUAUCCUAUAAGCAUGACACAGUGUUUUAAAAUGUUUUUUCCUGCUAUGAGUUAGGAUUGUGCGCAUAAACGUGGAAAGAAAGGUUAUUUCACAGCAGAGAAAAGCAUAGUUAAACAAAUUGUGAUUAAAUGGUAAAACUGCUUAAAAAGGAAAAGCAUGGGUUUUUUCUCACCACGGUUAUUCUGAAUUUAAAAUACCCAUAGUAAGUUUCCAAAGAACAUUGGGCAUUUGUAAUGAAAACACAAGCCACUGAAAUUAAUGAGAGAUAAUUGAGAGAACCAUAGCAAAUGUCCCAGAGCUUUGGCCAAAACUGGACAGAAAAAGAUCCGCUUGUGCAGCAAGUGAUAACUGUGUACCCUCCCUACCAUCACCACCCUGUCUUCUGCUGCGGCACCUGCAGCUAGCUCAUAGUGGGAGCAACUGGCUAUGUGGGAACCAGUCUACAGACUAACCAGGCUUUUGCUGUCCUUCAAUGAGACACCUCACAAGUGCUGACAGUGUCCAUGGCAGCCUUAAGUUUUUCCCAGAAGACACAACUGCCCCUUCUGCUAAGCUCAAACACAUCCAGCACUUCCCAUCGAUGCAAAGACGCGGGUACGGGGUUGUUUGAUCGUUCAAAAUGCUCAGUAACGCAUGUCCUACUUAUCAGUAUGUAGUGGCCACAAUUAUUGCUGGCCUGAUUCACUAGUCAAAGUGUGUAGGAUGUAACCCUUAGAUGGCUGAGGCGUAAGGGCAGGAUCAAUGUGGCCCUCAUACCUAACUCCAUUCACAUCAAACAAAUUCAACAGCAAUCUCUCCAUUGACAUUAAGGUCUAAUGGAAAUACUUCAGGGAGCAGAAUGAGAGCUAGGUCCUGCUCAUUCCAAUCAAACAAAACUCCAUGAACGGGCUUCAAUGAAUGGAACAAGCAAGAUUUGGCCCACCUUGAGCAGCACAGGUUUGGCUUCCAGAUGCUGAGCUGUACCCACUCGUUGGAGAAGGACAGUGAAAUACUGGAGCCAACAGACCUUGAACUAAGGAGACGACAAAGGGUAACACCUUGUCUGCGCUUAAACGGAUGGCAAGGCAAGCAGCAGCACCCAAUUUGCCCCUGAGCUUUAGCGCUGGGCUUCAACCAUGGUACAGUCUUUCAACUAACUUCACUUGAAGGAGUAAUUUUAAAAUAAUUUAAUGCCAAGUGCCAGAGGGCCCACUUUAUCACAACAUUAAACUGAAUCAUAUCAACUCCCAUUCUAAAUAUAAAAUAUGAUUGCAUUACUUGACUUCGUACUUUUUAUAAAGGUCCCAUUGUGGUGGGGUUUCACAAGGUAUAAAAGACCUUACAGGUAUUAUGGGCCAUAUCAGUCCAUUUCAUCUAAUUAAUCAUCUACUUAAAAAUGUUUUUCUUGAAUCGUAGUAGAAAAAAUAAAAUAAGUGUUCUUUUUUAUCAUUUCCAAAAUUAAAUUCAUAUUCCAUAAUGAUCAUAUUUCAUGUGCAAAAUAACAAGAUAUGCUUACAUACCUGACUUCCCUUCUUUAGUGAGUUAUUUCAUUUGUAAAACAUUGCAUAUAAGAUUAAAACCUAAAAUGAAUUACUUGGUUUUUCUUGAUAUGAAAUCUUGUUUAAGUUCACAGCAAUUUUAAAUAUGAUACAUUUAAAAUAUUAAUAUUCCCCAUAUAUUAUUCACUAACUUUCAGGUUUCAUCUCAAGUUAGUGGCACUUCAUAUUUCAAAGGAAGAACUGUUUCUUUUUUUCAGUACUAAUGUUCUAUUAAUUCACUUUGUAAUAUCUUUCUGGUUCAGACAAAUAAAAUUGCACUAAAUUGCUUAUGCCAAAAAUCAUGCUAAAGUUGUUGGCACUAUAUAAAAUUCCAUAUUCCAUUACUUUUUUAUAAGUUUUUUAUAUCAGUGGCAUCUUUUUAGGCAUAAUUCAUAGUCCCAUUUAGUUAGUUCUAGAAGGACAAAUACACACAGAGGGAUUUUUAUGCUGAGAUGGGGGUGUAUAUAGGUAUCUCCAGUAAUGUCUGCAACUAAAGUGACUUUUGCAAUGCAUCAGAUACCAACUCCCAGUGAACUACCUUAACAGCUUUUCCUUUAUGAAUAUUUUUUAUUUUGGGCAGUUUUCUCUUCCAGCAUGUUUUCUAUCACACACAUGUAUAAACACAUACGUAUGUAAACACAUACAUUUGUGAAAAACAAAUUUGUGUGCAUACAGAAAUACUUGAAAGGCCUGAUAUGCAUAUUAUGCAACAUAUGCCAUUCAUGUAAUCACUAUAUAUAUACAAAAAGAUAUACAAAAUAAAGAUAUACAAAAGAUAUGCAAAAAGAAAAUUCAUUUUAUAGAUACAAAUAAAAUAUGUGAAAGAAGUCCUUAAAGGACCCAUAAAGGCUUCAACAUAGAUUGAUACUUCAUCACAUCCAAAGAACGGAAAGAACCAUGGAUACAAUCCAUUCUUUUUACAUGAACAUUUAUAUUUUAUACUUUUUAAAUAAAGUCCACGUGGCCUCAUAGCUAUUUCCAGAGAUGUGGAUGAAAGUUACACCUGGAUAAACUGAAAACUCUUUAAAAGCAAAGCAGCAUCUAAUCCUAUGAAAUGCCUUGCUGGAGUGAAAUAAUUACUAAGUGCUGGAGCAAGAGUAGCAAACAGCAGUAAAAUCACCUGUAAAUAGAUGUGAGGAACUAUAAAUACACUUCAGCAUUUGUAUAGUUGACUUUCUCAGACUGAUUUCUCUCAUCAAAAUCAGAUAUUCGGGAGGCAGAAAUCCAACUCCAAGGAAUGCAGAUUAAUACAUAUAUAUAAAUAUAUAGUAAGUGACUAAGUUUGCAACAUUGUUAAUAAUGUAUGCUGUUUUUCUAAUGCCUAGUAUUUGCUCCCUCGGCAAUUUUAAAAAUAAGAAAAUUUGAUCUAACUCUUUUAAAAAAUAAAUUGCAAAAUAACUGAUGCAAAUCCCUGUCACUUGUGAACACAAUGAAAUUAUACAGAAAGGAGCAAAUGCAGAAGAGGCUCCUCCUCAAAAAUAGAAACGAAUGCCCUGUUCCUAUACGGUCCUCAAAUGGCAGGAUUUUGAAACAUGGAUUAGACCUCGAAUGCAAAUUAACUUCGGAAGGCAGGGAGAGGGGAAAAAAAAAUCAGAGACAUACCAAGUCAAACACUCCUUUUCCUGCCUAUCUCGUCCACAAUGGUAAAAUAGGCUAAACAAAACAAGUGCACAUCAAGACACAGCCAAUUAAGGAAUAGAGAGCGGGGGGAGAGGGUGGAGAGGAAGGCACCUCACUGAGCACAUGGGGAGUGGGAGCGCAGCAUCCCACCAUACCUACCUUAUGAGUGUUCAAAGGAAGACAACUGGGAGAGAAGGUAGCAGAGACUGAGUGUCUGAAGCUAGCAAAUGGCCAGCAGCUACCCUGAUCUUCGCUGGCCCGUGCCAGCAAGUUGGUGGCCUGGCCCUGUACUGAAAGACUGUGGGGACAGUAUGCUGCAUGUCUGAGUCUUAAUAACUGGCCAGGGAAUACCUCUCCUUCUUUCAACUCUUCCCAUCCAGUCCAACACAAUUUCAUUCUGAAGCUCAUCCCCUCAAAAGCUUUCUAAAUUCAGCUUCAAAUAUUCAUGUUCACAUAUUUUUAAUUUUUUUUUAUAAUUAUUUUCAUACCACCCCUGUGAUCCCAUGUUUAAAAAGCAAAGCUGGUCAGUGACUUGAGACCACAGGUGCCAUCAUGGAGGUCCAUAAUCAGUAAAAAGCAAGAGAGAAUUAAGUCCCCAGGGCUUGCCACAAACCGAUUUCAAGUCCUCUCCUUCAGACCCAGGGGCUGGAGAAGCUGUCCCUCCGAAGCUCCCUGGCACCUACCGGGGGGACAUGUACCGCUCUAAAAGGGCCCUGCGGGUCCCUCUGCGCCUGAGGAGGACGUACAGCGUCACAAAAAAGGGCUCUGGCAGCACUCGGGCCACUCUUUCCCAAGUCCGGAGUAAUAAAUCCAGUGGAAGAAGGAGGGGAGGGAUCUACAGUCUGGAGAUAAGAAGGGAUGCGGUUUGCGCCGGGGUUUUCAAUAAGCUGCUGCUCUCUCCUUCGUGUUUACCCACUGACCCCCAGUACGGUGACUCAGCGAUUACAGAGCACUGGGUGUCUGUGUGUGUGAGGGUGUGAAGGGGAGCGGGGGGAUUUCCUCCCCCUUUUCCCUUUCUUUUCUUUCCUGAUGAAAAACGUUGCAAUUACAUUUCUGCAUGCUGAUCAGAGAGUUCAAAUAACAAGCCUUAAACGCGUUAUCAGGCUCUUGUUAAAGAGGGAAGAGGAAAGUGAAGGGGUGAACAAAUCCAGACGUAUACGCCUGGAUGUACGCAUACCUAUAUAGAUACAUAUUUAAAUGACAGACUGCUGCAAGAAGAGAUGGGCUGUUGUUGGGACCGAGUGCCUUCACCCCGGCAGAUGAGGAAAGAGACUCAAUUUAAAACACCAACCAAACUAGAGAAGAAAGCAAGACGCACAAAUCACUCCAGGGAAAAGUUGUUUAGACGCAAUCUCUAGAUUUUCCCAGUGCAAAUUGACUUUCCUAUCGGGUUUGAUCCAGUUUUCCUGCUCCUCUUCCACCUCCCACCCCCGGGGGGAUCCAUCCCUAUUUCUCGUUUUCCUUCUCAGAAGUGGCUCCUGCCGCCCCGCCCGGGAGGGCGUUUGCCGGGACCUCGGCGUGGCCGCGGCCCGUUCCGCGCCCGCGGAAAGGCCGGCGGCGCGGGGGUCGCCCCCCGGGAACGUAGGGUGGCGGCGGGCUUUCGGGUUCCAGCCUCCGCCCCCCACACUGCUACCCCCCUAACUCUUGGCAGGCGGCAAGAAAUUGUUUCAGAAGUCGGGUGGUGGGGCUGAAUUUAGAGAGGGGAGGAGGGAAUAAAUGCAAGGAGAUGAUGAAUAACUUUAACUUUUGACUGUAGGAGUCAUGGUGGAGUUGAGCGAAGCUGCGGGGAAAUAUGUCAUUUAAUCCCAGGGCUACUGAAGUCCCUUUUAUCAAACGUCGUGAUGCUGGAAUUAUACCGCUGUAAAAGCGACUGAGUACUUAAAAGUAUCCAAUAUCAGGCAAAUGUACAGAUUGGAGAAAUGGGUGUAAAAUGAAGGCACGUACAAACUAAUCACACGACCGUGAAAACCCCAAGCGGAUUAGAUAAAUAUAAAUAGAUGUGCAUAAAAAAAAUUAAAAAAAAAAACCACGAUAAAACUCUAGCUGCUGUAUUCACACAAGGAGAACAGACAGCGUGUGCAUGUUUGUGUGCAAUGCCAAAAAGAGCAGCCUUAAGGUUGACCUACUGCAAUCUGCACUGAGCUCCUCAGACAAUAGACAAGUUCAAAUGUCAAAAAAUCUAAUAAUAAUAACCAGAGCUGCCAAACUGCACGAACUGUUUUCUGGUGUAUCACAAUUAUUCACCCUCAUAUCCACUAAAAGACUUCCAGUCCUUAUGCGUGUAAAAGAAAAUCUAUGUAAUGCAUAUGGAUUUUUUUUUUUUUAUCACAUGUGAAACGCCAUUGAGAUGGCAAGCACGCAAAUCGGAAUGAUAUCAUGUCUAAUAAAAGCAGGGCUAAGGUUUUCACAGUCUCUUUUAAAAGAUUCCAACUUGUAAAUCCCCUUUUAAUGUCGCUACAUGCACAAUUAUUCUUAUUAAUAAAAUCUACAUGUUCAAGGGUCUGGAUUGAAACUAUGUAUCCCUCUGAUUUUUACAUCGGUGGGAGCAUUAGGUUUCCAUCAUAUGUAAUGUGUCUACGUUGGGCUCAAGUCAACAGAUAGAUUGUUCCAUUCAUUUGGCAACUCUCAUUACAGUCUGUGUGAGGUGAACCCUGAGCAAGACACGUUGGGUAAUAUCAAAAUUACGCAGCUGGGAAAUAAAGGAAUCUUACUUUGCAUGUGCAGUUCUGUAUUAUUGUUCUAAUUUAUUACAGAACCCGAAAUGCUUUGUUAUGCUCAAAACAAUAAAUAAGGUUCCGAGUGAAGCCUUCAGAAUAAAAGAUUGGUUAGUGCAAUAUCCCUAGUGCAGCUAUCAACGUGGUCAUAAGAACUAUGAACUACAGUAUGGGUUACGUUUGGAGGAUUGGGGGAAGGGGGAGCAGAGGAAAGCUGGGGAAAUCCGCUCAAUCCCGACCCCGGGAUGAUGAACUUUGCUGGGGUCUUUCAACUCCAAAACCCGCCCGCUUCACAGGCGAGGGAAAUGUUCACUAAACUGCAAAUCUCAAGCAAGUCACCACGUUUCUGAGGAGAAUUGCGCUCUGGAAAUGUGUUUUACUAGUCUGGAAUAUUCCUAGCGCUCAUUGCGCCAAACGCGGCCUCGGGUCCGUGGGAGGCACCGCACCGCCUGGGACACUCUCGGGCGGCCCCCGAACCGGCGGCCCCCGCUGCUGUCCCCCCGCCCGCCGGCCCCGGGAGUGGCGGGGCGCUGUCCCGGCGGCGGGCAGCGCGGGUGUGCGGGCAGCGCGGGUGUGCGGGCA